UCCCUGGCCCUUCCAAGACACUGAGGAGCCAGGGUUGAGGUCAGUCAAGAGCCUGGAUGGUGGAGGGCUUUCCUUGUGUUUCCCUGACCGUGAGCAAGUGUUGACUGAACCUGCCUGGGCGGGGUGAUGAGCCAGAGAGAGAGCCAUGGCCACUGGGCUACAACUGUCAUUAACUCAGAAGAGGAAAUAGUGGCACAUACGCCAGGUAUUCUCCACUCCUAAAGAACUCAUAGGACCAUGGUCUACGCCUAGGCUUUUGGGUGGUGUGCAGUCACUGGACACUGCUGAAGUGUGUUUGGGAGAAAAAAAAAGUAAGACAGAGCAAGAUGCAAAUGGCAACUCCAGCUGCUUGUAGUAGCGACUCCACUAAUGUUCCUGAAAGGUUCGCAGAGUCAAUUCAAUCAAUCUAAGCUGCUUCUAUUCUCAGCAUGAGCAUGGUGAGGGAGGGGCUGGGGGAUAUCAUUAGCUUUCUUCCUUUGAGGUUUGGAUGAUCAAGACAAUGAAAAUAAUAGUAAUGUAAGUGGAAAGUGCUUUAAAAAAAAAAAACACAAAGCACAUCAGGAAGCAUGAGGCUAGCUGUGUGCUCUGCCCAGAGAGGUGUUUAUCCUUUUGGAAGGGCAGGCAUCUUCUGGAAACCGAAACUGAACGUGUGUGGAUUUUGUUGAUUUAAUAGAUGAUUGUGAAUGCACUUCUAGAACACUCUGCACAUGUGUACUAUUUGGCUGUGUUUCAACUAGCUUCUGUGUGUGUUGUUCAUGCACAUGUGAAAAUAAAUAUGGUGAUUAGGAGAAGUCCAGGGAGGAGGUUAACUUUUGAAAUCAGAAAUCAGAAUACCCAGAGUCGAGCUGCCGCCCAACCCCUGUAAGUACUUGGGCAAAACGCCUGAUCUUUCUGAGCCUCAGUUUCCUCAUGUAUAAAAUAGGAAUGAUGUAGAGCCCAUCAAUACAAGGCUCAGGUGAGGUGGGUCACUUGUGUGGAAAUGCUUUACGUUUUGGAAAUUGCUCACUAAAUACUGGUUGUUAUUGUUAGAAAGAAAUGUCCACUAUAAGGUCCUUGCUUAGCAUCUGGGCGGCCAUCUUAAAUAGCAGCCAGCAUUUUAAGGAAAAAGUUUCGCUUUUCCAUGAAAGGGUGUUUCUGAGAAAGGCUCCCCACUCCCUCACACCAACCCAACCUCUAACUGUCCCCAUUAGGACCAGCCUGGCUCUGAUUCCUGAGCCUGCCCCAUAAAAGUCCCAGCCUGUCUUGCCUCUCUCUGCUAUAGAGAGAUGGCCUUUGUCAGCUAUGACCAAUAAACUCUCGUGUGGAUCUCUGCCUGGUCUCCAUCUUUCAUUUCUUGCUUACCUGUCUCUCAUUCCUCACUUUUCCUUCAUCCACUGCCCAAAUUCUCACACAUACUGAUGCCUGUAGCAAGUAUGUCAGCAUCAAUAUGACACACAUACCAGGAAACUAGAAUCUGACCCCCACACUUCACAUUUCAGGUAACAUCUUUUUGGUUCUCAAUUAGUAAAGAGAGUGUAUAAAUGUUAGAUUCUUUACAGGGCUGGAGAAUCAAAGGUAAAUUGGUAUACCAUGGGCAUUGUUAAAGAAUAAAAAAAGAAUCAUUCAGUGAUACCUAUGAAAGCAAAGUAAGGAAGGCUUUAUUCAGGGCCCUCUGGAUAGGUACAGGGGCUCCAGCAAUGGGAGUUUAUAGUAGCAGAGAGAGACUUGGUUCAACUAUGAAUAUAGCAAGGGCAAAUGGGAACCAAUAGCCAAGGGUCAGAGGAUGGAAAACUACUAAGAGGAAACAUUAAGAAUGAAUCACCUUUGCAUUACUAUUACAAAA